AAGAGUCAUUAUGGGUUUACACCCUAAUACUCCACCCUUUGUUUACAUUACCUUUGUUGCUUUGGCAGGCCCGUCUUUACGACCACCGGCUUCGGCUGGUCCGUGCCUGCCAGAGAACCUAAAACUCUUGUUUAAUUUAUUGUCUGAGUACUAUAUAAUAGUUA
rnacentral:misc_RNA from 1 species